rnacentral:lncRNA from 1 species
AGCCUUUGCUAGCACUGCUUAGUUAGGGCUUGUUGAGUUUUUGGUUGCAUCGGUUGUGUCGAGUUGCUGGUCUUAGUUUUAGUCCUUUAGAGUUUCGAGUUCUUGUCACGUUCUAGUCACAGCCGUGUGCUACCAUAUAAAACCUUUUGUUGGCUGAAUCUGAAUACAUAUUUGUGCUCAAGUCCGAGUAGGACUCCGAGUUUGUUUAAGACCGAAUCCAGCGUGGUGCUGAGU